rnacentral:rRNA from 1 species
UCUCGUUGGUGACCAGCGGAGGGUCAUUACUGAGUUACCGCUCUAUAACCCUUUGUGAACAUACCUUAACUGUUGCUUCGGCGGGUAGGAGUCCCCUAAAAAGGACGCCUCCCGGCCCUCCCGUCCGCGGGUGGGGCGCCCGCCGGAGGAUAACCAAACUCUGAUUUAACGACGUUUCUUCUGAGUGACACAAGUAAUAAUCAAAACUUUUAACAACGGAUCUCUUGGUUCUGGCAUCGAUGAAGAACGCAGCGAAAUGCGAUAAGUAAUGUGAAUUGCAGAAUUCAGUGAAUCAUCGAAUCUUUGAACGCACAUUGCGCCCGCCAGCAUUCUGGCGGGCAUGCCUGUUCGAGCGUCAUUUCAACCCUCAAGCUCUGCUUGGUUUUGGGGCCCUACGGUUGACGUAGGCCCUUAAAGGUAGUGGCGGACCCUCUCGGAGCCUCCUUUGCGUAGUAACAUUUCGUCUCGCAUUGGGAUUCGGAGGGACUCUUGCCGUAAAACCCCCAAUUUUUCUAAGGUUGACCUCGGAUCAGGUAGGAAUACCCGCUGAACUUAAGCAUAUCAAUAAGCGGAGGAAAAGAAACCAACAGGGAUUGCCCCAGUAACGGCGAGUGAAGCGGCAACAGCUCAAAUUUGAAAUCUGGCCCUAGGCCCGAGUUGUAAUUUGCAGAGGAUGCUUUUGGCGCGGUGCCUUCCGAGUUCCCUGGAACGGGACGCCAUAGAGGGUGAGAGCCCCGUACGGUUGGACACCAAGUCUUUGUAAAGCUCCUUCGACGAGUCGAGUAGUUUGGGAAUGCUGCUCAAAAUGGGAGGUAUAUUUCUUCUAAAGCUAAAUAUUGGCCAGAGACCGAUAGCGCACAAGUAGAGUGAUCGAAAGAUGAAAAGCACUUUGAAAAGAGGGUUAAACAGCACGUGAAAUUGUUAAAAGGGAAGCGCUUGUGACCAGACUUGCGUCCGGUGAAUCACCCAGCUCUCGCGGCUGGGGCAUUUUGCCGGCUCAGGCCAGCAUCAGCUCGCUGUCGGGGACAAAAGCUUCGGGAACGUAGCUCUCUUCGGGGAGUGUUAUAGCCCGUUGCAUAAUACCCUUCGGUGGGCUGAGGUACGCGCUCCGCAAGGAUGCUG